GAUCCAUUAUCUGGAUUAAGGACAGUGUCUGGUGGGUAGUUUGACUGGGGCGGUCGCCUCCCAAAAAGUAACGGAGGCGCUCAAAGGUAUCCUCAGUAUGGUUGGAAAUCAUACAUAGAGCGCAAAGGUAGAAGGAUGCUUAACUGCGAGACUUACAAGUCGAACAGAUACGAAAGUAGGACUUAGUGAUCCGGCGGUCCCGUGUGGAAGGGCCGUCGCUCAACGGAUAAAAGUUACCCCGGGGAUAACAGGCUUAUCUCCCCCAAGAGUUCACAUCGACGGGGAGGUUUGGCACCUCGAUGUCGGCUCAUCGCAUCCUGGAGCUGUAGUCGGUUCCAAGGGUUGGGCUGUUCGCCCAUUAAAGCGGUACGCGAGCUGGGUUCAGAACGUCGUGAGACAGUUUGGUCCCUAUCUGUUGUGGGCGUUGGAAAAUUGAAAAGAGCUGUUCCUAGUACGAGAGGACCGGAAUGGAUGCACCCCUGGUGCUCCUGUUGUCACGCCAGUGGCACAGCAGGGUAGCUAUGUGCAGAAAGGAUAAUCGCUGAAGGCAUCUAAGCGAGAAGCCUCCUUUAAGAUGAAUUUUCCCAUUCUUUUAGAUGUAAGAUCCCAUGUAGACCACAUGGUUGAUAGGAUGGAUGUGUAAGUGCUGUGAGGCAUUAAGCUAACCAUUACUAAUAGAUCGAGUGAAUUUUAGAA
rnacentral:rRNA from 1 species